rnacentral:SRP_RNA from 1 species
GCCGGGUGCGGUGGCAUGUGCCUGUAAUCCAAGUCACUGGGAGGCUGAGGUUGGUGGAUCAAGUGAGCUGAGGAGCUCUGGGCUGCAGCACGCUAUGUGUCGAACGUGUCCACGCUAAGUUCGGUAUCGAUAUGGUGUUCCUGGGGGAGCCCGGGACCACCAGGUUGUCUAAGGAGGGUGAACCGGCCCAGGUCGGAACGAAGCAGGUCAAAUCCCCCGUGCUGUCCAGUAGUGGAUAAUACCUGUGAGUAGAUGCUGCAGUGCAGCCUUGGCAAAACAUCGAGACCUAAUCUUUU